rnacentral:rRNA from 1 species
UACAGAGGGGGCCAGCGUUAUUCGGAAUUAUUGGGCGUAAAGGGCGCGUAGGCGGCGUGUCAAGUCAGGCGUGAAAGCCCCGGGCUCAACCUGGGAACCGCGCUUGAGACUGGCAUGCUCGAGUUCGGGAGAGGAUGGUGGAAUUCCCAGUGUAGAGGUGAAAUGCGCAGAUAUCAGGAAGAACACCAACGGCGAAGGCAGCUCGCUGGGACGGUACUGACGCUGAGACGCGAAAGCGUGGGGAGCGAACAGG